rnacentral:SRP_RNA from 1 species
GCUGGGUGUGGUGGUGCGCACCUGUAGUCCCAGCUACUCGGGAGGCUGAGGCAGGAGAAUCACUUGAACCCGGGAGGUGGAGGUUGCAGUGAGCCAAGAUCAUGCCACUGCACUCCAGCCUGGGUGACAGAGCGAGACUCUGUCUCAA